AUGGAGUCACAGACCCAGGUCCUCAUAUCCCUGCUGCUUUGGGUGUCUGGUGCCUGUGCAGACAUUGUUGUGACCCAGUCUCCAUCCUCCCUGGCUGUGUCAGCAGGAGAGAAGGUCACCAUCAACUGCAGGUCCAGUCAGAGACUUUCAUACAGCAAAGACCCAAAGAACUAUGUGGCCUGGUACCAGCAAAAACCAGGGCAGUCCCCUAAGCUGCUGGUCUACCAUACAUCCUCUCUGGAAAAAGGGGUCUUUGAUCGCUUCAUAGGCAGUGGAUCUGAGAUUUUUUACACUCUCACCAUCACGAGAGUGCAGGCGGAAGACCUGGCAGUUUAUUACUGUCAGAGGGGUUACAACAAUGUUCCCACA